CCUGCGAGUUUAUCUGUUGGUGCCAUUCGGGACAGCUAUCUCCCCUGCCCACACUUGCCCUUCUGGUUCAAGUGACACCUGAACCAUUGGGUGCUUUCCUAAUGGGAGGCCCUUCCGCAGGAAUUCUCUCCUACCUGCUACCAAAUAGCAUUUGCCACAUGUGUUCUGUGACAGUAGAGCCAGGUGUCAACUACUGUGUUGUCACAGCUCGCUUCUUACCUGUGCAUUUUUCUGGGCCUAGGAGCCCUUGACCCCUUGCCCCUUUUCAACUAGGAUUAACGCACUUUUUUGUUUCCAAAGGUGAUGCUGUAAGCCUUACAGCUGCAGUCCAGGGUGCUUGAUAUUUACUGUAUUUCCGAGCCGCUACGCACUCGAUGUUAUUGAUCUAGGUGCCACCGCCCACAGGUUCCCAGUGAGGAGGUUGUAGAGUCGGGGCUCCUUUCCACAGAAUGUUGUAAGUCCUACAGGUGGAAACAGCCCGCCCGGGGCCUCCCCAUGGCCAGAUCACACAAGGAAGGGCUAUGGAUUGAUUCUGACGCGGAGGGUGUGGACGCCUGCUCAUUUUAAAUCUGGGAUCCUUGAAAUGAAGUUUAGGCAACGGACCAAAUCCGUGUAGGGGGCAGGAGUGGGGAUCCAGGUCUACUGUGUUAGCAUACCUGGAUCUCAUGAAUUCAGGGAGAAAUUUAGUUGAUAACUCUUACUUAGGAACAAGCUCCAGUUUUUUAAAAAGGAAAUCUAUUGUUGCUUCCCAGAGCACACCUGAAAUACGAUCCUGUGUCCUGUUUCCCGGCUUGAAGAAACCGAGGGCCCCCAAUUGAAAUUGCCUUGUUACUUGCAUGCAGGGCUGCUGAAACGCUACAUCUCUGGAUUCUGUUGGGGGCUUUUAAAAAUGGUACCGGUAUUUCCUUUGGAAAUGAUGCCUCACAAAUACCUCACUCCCAUGACUUUUGACUGGGGGCAACUUUACUAAAUCGGUGUUUCCCCUUGGCCGCUUCCAAGGGCCUGCCUCUCGUGUCCCUCGGGGGCCCAUUUGAAGGGACUGAGCUCACCUCUCAGGGUCGAAGGCCUCGGGGUUUGGCCAGUACUCAGGGUCAUGGUGCAGGGCGCCCACCGCCAUCUCCACCACGGCGCCUGCCGGGAUACACUGCCCCUGAACCUCACAGUCUCGCGCCGCCUCUCGCGUGAACCUGCGGGGACACACGGGUCAACCCCACUACCCCCCCCCCCCCCCCCCCGCCUCGAUUGCGCAGCCGCAAUAAGCAGAACUCUGCGGCGGUGCUCUGGGGCAAAUGGAGUUGGAGUCUGAAGUGCGCAAUGAGGCUGGGGGUAUAGGGGGACAAGAGGUCCGGCCCUCUUUCGGGGGUGACCUGGAUGGUUUCCACACACCGCCCCCUCCCCCCCCGCAACCCCCUCUACUGCCCAGGACCCUGCAAUCUCUAGGCUCUUUAGACUCAGUUGGCGCUCAGUGAAAAUGCAUUCAUCGAUCUUGGUGCAUCCACCCAUCGAGCCUGAAGAGCUUCUCUUAGGCCUGGUUAGGGGAGCACAGGUACCUUUGAAGGGCUUCUUUCUGGGGAGGGGUUUGCCGGGUUACUCCCCUGGCCACGCUUUCCCUCAUCUUCCGUUCAUGGUCAAGCCUCUUUAAAUUGCCCUCGCCCACCGCUUUGCUUUACCUAAAGGAAAUUUGGGUUUGAAAAUCUGAUCUCGGGUCAUUGUCUGUGUCACUAUGGAUAACUUCUACUCGAGGGGAAAACUUUUGGGCAGCUUGUUUACUGUACCAAGUGGCCAUGGCACAGUCCCAUUUCUUUAUAUAUAUGUAUUAUAUAUGUACUAAAAAUUAUAUAUAUAUAUACUAAAAAUUAUAUAUAUACUAAGAAUUAUAGAUAUACUAAAAUUAUAUUAUAUUAUAUUAUAUUAUAUUAUAUUAUAUUAUAUUAAUUAUAUAUUUUUUGAUAGGGGGCGCAAGUGAGUGAGUGAGAGACAGAGGGAGAGAGAAGCAGGGCUCACCCCAUGUGGGGCUUGAACUCACAAACCGUGAGAUUGUGACCUGAGCCAAAGUCAGAUCCUUAACGACUGAGCCACCCAGGCACCAUGUAUUGUAUUUUUAAGGGCUAGACUAUAGAUUUUUUCAUAUGAACAUAACAUUUCUGGAAGAAUACCUGAACUUCUAUGAUUUCUUCUAAGGGAUGAGACUGGGGUGGAGGAUGGCAGGGGACUAGAGGUGUCAGCUUUCUCUUUGGACCCUUCUGUAUUGUUUCGGUUUUUGGUUUUGGUGGUUUUUGUUUUCAUUUUAAGUAUAAGCAUAUUAUUUUUAUAAUAUAGAUAAUUACUUUAAAAUUAAAAAUAAUCAAUGCUGUCUUUUACUUCAAAUUAUAGGACUGGACUUUCCUAAAUAUCUUAGGGGAGAUAUAAUUGUUAUCCUAAUUAUUAUUAUAUACUCUUCUCACUUCUAAGAGAAAUUAAGAGCAAUCCGAGGCUCCUUGUGGGAUUUAACACUCUGUUAAAGCUACCAAUGCAAUUAAUAUGUGCUUGGAGCUGGUAGCAAAACACCGGGGCUCAAAUCAGAGCAAGAAGGUGGGGGUUCCUGAUGUAUGCAGCCUCAGUUCUAAUGGGUCAAACUAGGCUAUACCCUGGCAUCCCCUUCUUUGUCGUCUUUACUGGAAAUAUCUUGGACCUGGAUCCAAGACCCCCUCAAAGCCAGGGCUUUCCCUUCUGUAUAAGGUUGGGCCUCCUGCCGGGCUAGGCCAGGCCACACACAAGGCCAGAAAAAUCUGCUGAAUUAUAUUGCAUAGAAACCUGGAUUCACAGUGAUAACACUUCAACAAGAGUUAUGUUUUCCACAGGGGCCAUUCUGAGAUUUUGGGGGAAUAAUGGUGUGUCAGUGCUUGGGAAAAGCCAAGAUGCUUUUUUGAGAUUAAAAUAAUAAAAUAAAGUAAAAUAACAUAGAAUUCUCACUGUGCCUGUGUUCACCGAAUCUAUUGCUUGGGCUGAAGCGAAUUGGCUGCUUGUCUGGCUGAAAAUAAUGAUGGCUUGCCUCUCUCAUUUCUGUUGUUUGAUAACAGAAGUCAGCAGGGCUGAUACGUUAAAAAUUCCAACAGAGUAGGUGGGGAGGAAGGUGAGGCCCAGGAGAUCACGGCUUGCCCAGGAUUGGAGCAGGAUGGAAGCGGAUCAUUUGACUGGAAGGUCAGUCCUUCUUUCUCUUCACCUCGCACCUUACGUGGUGCUCCACUUAGAGUGGUGUGGCUUUUCAGAUGUUCUGUUCUACUGAUUCUCACCACUCCUGUGGGGCGGGCCGAGCAGACAUUGUGUGCCCACAGAACACACAGGAAGCAGAAGCACAGAGCAGUGCAGAAUUUACCCAGGAUAACACAGCAAACUAAGGGCAGUGAUGUGAACCUGUCUUGACUUUCUAUCUAAAUUUGUUCUGUGAUUACGGAGCACUGGCACUGUAUGCGACCUUAUGAGGGAAUCAGCAAAUCUUGUCCUGCCUUCCCGAACCAGCUGCUGGUUCUCUGGAGCAAUGCCUUCGCUGGCUUCCUUUUUCACAGUACUGUUUAUAAAAAGGUCACUAGGUGAAUUGAUCAGAGCAUUUUGGCAUUAAAGAGCCUGUUCACAUUGUCGCUCAACACAUCACCUCUACAAGGUCUCGCGUGGUGAGUUCUUGAUUGGGUUCAGAUCCAGGAAAUGACGUGUCUUUGAUCAUUGAUAGACUUUCUUCCCACUAGAGAACGUGACCGUUCAACUCUGCUGGUUUCUGUCUUGGCCAGGAGCCUCAACAACCGAGCAGGGACCUGACUCCAGUUAUCGGUCAUCUCUAGGGUCCUGUAAAGGCUUCUUUCCUCUAGACAGCCUUUGUUCUAUCACUGAAUGUCUUAUUUCGAAUUUCAUUUUAAUGUGUAUAGCAGAUGCCCACAGUUCCCUUGGAAGGAAGCUAGAUAUAAAUCAUUAAAAAACGAAGAUUGGAGACAGUUUGCUCUGCAGCUCCCAAGGAAAUCAGGGAAGGCCCAUAGAAUCUGGCCCUGGAGUUACUGGCUGUUCCCAGAUCAGGGAGACUGAAACCCUGUGUGCUUGAGGACCGUGUGAUUUCACUCCCUUCUGUGGAAUUCUGUCUCUUUGCUCUGGGUCUGAACACUUUGCACAGUCGCUACAGUCACACUCUCUGUGAUGUUUUUGGUUGGAAUAUAAUUUUGAGAUACCUUCAAAUCAUCCACAUUUUCUCUUAAAAUGGCAAAAGCUACCUCCAAAUGGAUUAUGUGGUAUAUUCAUUCAUAGACAUGCAGAGUGGAACUUACAAUAUAUAGGGUUAAAUGCUUUGUGUUGCUUCUGUUUCUAGAACCUGAAAUCUGGCCACUGUUUCCCUCCCUAAGGGUCUGGGGACCCAAGUUAAGAUGCUGUGCUCCCUGGAAGGCCUCGCUUAGGGGGAGUUGGAAAGAAGUAGAAGACCAGAUUCCUGCUCUCAAGGCACUUACAGUGCCUGUCUCCAGGGGAGAGUACAUGGAACUGUAAAGAUCUCCUGAGGCACCAAAAUAGUGAGACAGGGUUGGGCGCAGAGGGGAAGUAAGAUGCUGCGGAUCAAAGGAAUAGGAAACUGAGACCUAGAGAAGUUGCCCAAGGGGAGGACUUGAUCCGAGCCCGACAGCUGUGGAAGCCCAAGCCCCUCACCACUGCCUGUGCUGCCAUCUGUUCCAACGGACACCCUUCUCCCAGGCCGACGCCCCAGUGUGGUGUGGCUCCAGUGCUGAGCAGGUGUGCAAGAGGAAGCAGCCAGAAGCCAGCUGUGCCGGCACUGUCUUGUAAAGGAGGAAACUCAGGGUGGCUUCUUGCUUCGUGGACCAGAACCCCUUCUCCAGCCCAAUUACCAAGUCCAAGUGCAGGCGCUCCGUGGGCAGCCUUCCACGCAGUGGAUUUGGUGGACUCAGCCUCCUUCAAUUUUGUGGCUCCGCCAUCCACUACCCCUGAGAUGCCCCUGCUGGAUCACCUGCAGCCAACUGGCUCAGGGGAAAAGCAAAGAAGAAAAGGUGGAAGCCUUUCCAGAACAGAGGGUGGACCUGAUUCAACAGUGUAUCUCCAGAGGCAAGGAGGAAGCCUGCCUGUCACUCAGUAGGUGUUCACGAAAUGUUGGAGCGAAUGAACGCCCGCCUGUGUUUCAGGUAGCAGCCACCAGAUGGCAACAGUGUUCUUUGGGCUAUGAAGGUAAACGGUAAGCUUUCUGCAAGAGCCCCUGAAAUAAAUGGAGGUGGGUCCCCAUAAUCGCAGCACUCGGCUAUUUUUCUAAAAAACAUAUCAGUUUAUCGAAAUAACCGCAAAGUCAUUGCUCAAGCCAGACCUUGUGCGAGAGACACAGCAAACAAAGUCCCGAGGUGGGUACCUGUGCACCACGGAGGGCUUGAACCCUUAGUACCAUUCUCCAUGGGAUCUCAGCAUGGUAUCGUCUAACUCGAGGGCCCGAGAACACCCAUUCAGACUCCUGAGCAUUUGACGCGUCUGAAGCCAUCCCAGCCCGACACCCUUGUGGCUGCCUGUGCCUGUUCCGGGUUCACUGGCUCUAAUUUUACUUCUUAUCUUAUCAGGGUUUUUACCAGUAGACCAGUUUGGCUGGAGAGGAAGGUUUAUGAAGGUUCGUGAAAGAUAAGGUUGGCGGUAGGGAGGGGCCAGCAGGGGAGGCCUCUGGAUACCAGGCUGAGGAGUGUGGACUUUACCCCACACACGAUAAAGUAGCUGGCAGGCUCUUGUGCCGCACGCAUGUGCACAUGUGUGUGCAGGCAGGCGGCACGUGUGUGCAUGAGUGAAAGGGGAGUGGAAUGGGGAGGGACGGACAGGUACCAAACGGUGUCGAGAAGGAUGGGUGAUGGGGCUGGGGGGCAGCAAGGGAGGCCCGCGGGGGGUCACUGUAGCAACCUAAGGUGUAGGGCUGAGGCACCAGAUGGUGGGGGUGGCGGACAGGAGGCACCCAGAUGGAUUCAGGUAAGUUCUGCAGGGAGAUCCACUAGAGGAUUGGGUCAUUGAUUGGGAAGGACGGGGAGAGCCCAGAACCAAGCAAGGAGCUUCACUGUUGGACUAAACCCUGACCUUGUGCAAAUUAGAAGAAGGCCUGUCUUUCCCAGGACGCUUGACUUCUACCUGCCACCAAACUCUCUUGCCUGCAAAGCUCCCAGGUGAAUAGGCCCCUGAGGCAGCCAGUCCGUGCCCGCCCUGCUCCACGGUGGGGUGGGACCCCAGCAUUCCAAGCCUGGCUGCAGGAGGCAGGGGUGGUAUUUCUGAGAGAAAUGGUUUAAGGAAAAGAGCAUCCCGAGUCUCAUACAUCUCCAGUGCGGUGGUUCUCGAACGUCAGUGGGCGUCAGACACACAGGGAGGGCUUGCUAAAACACAGGUCGCUGGGGGUCUGAUUGCGUAGAUCUGGGCUGGAGCCUGAGAACUUCCAUUUCUACCAAAUUCACUGGUGACACUGUUACUGCUGGUCCGGGACCACUCUUAGAGCCCUACCCAAACCAAAUGAAUCAGAAUCCAGGUAGGAGAGCAUCUCCUGGACAUCUUUCUUCCACCCACACGUUAGAUUCAAAGAUAGCACCUCUGGGGGCAGCUCAGGUCUGAAGACGCGGCUGUAUUUGAGCUGCAGGAUAUUGGCAAAUUGUUUGGUUCCGAUGGAUGAAUUUCCCCCAUUUCAUCUCUAAUACUCCCCUUUUCCCCCAGGAGAGGCUUCAGCUUCCCCUCUUUCCCUGACAGGAGUACCAGGCUGGCCUGAAUUGUCCAGUCCUCCCUAACAAGCAAGGUGACCUGUGUCAAAACCUGCUUCUUUCAUAAUAAGUACCUGCCACUUUGCUUUUUCUAGCUCUUCUAGAUAUCUUUUAGAGAUUCCAGAAUUUCCUGUGGGCCAGACAUGCCUGUUUACUGCUCACCUGCUGAAAAGGAGCUACCGGUUCCCCUGCCACCCCCCCCCCCCCCCCGUCCCCUGUCAUGAGCUCCUCCUACCCCAUCCCGGUCCCACCCCUGCCCUCUGCAGCCACCCAAUGCUUUGGAGUAGAUGUCUGCCUUAUCUGCCACCAAGGUUAUUUGAGGUUCUGCAGGAACUAAAAAAAGUGUGUCCUUUCUCUCAAUAUGGUAGUAGAAAGAAGAGGUAACAUAAGGUGUGUGUGGGAUAGAAGUAAAUAUGGGUCUGAAAAACCCACAUAAUUAUAUAAUGGAGAGAUACUGCCAAGGUAAAUUAAUAAGAAAACAGUUGGGUGAUGUUUACCGACAAAAUCAGUUUGGGGUGUGUUAUUCCCCGCAUUUCCUUUGUCAAACGAGCUACAGAUUGGAAGAAUGCGUCUCCAAAGAGGCAACCCCCUCAUGGAAGUGGCCAUAUUUUUCUGUCUGGUUCGUCAGGCUACCUAGAAACCAGGGAAAUUGCCAAGGUAAGGCCUGGGAGCUACCUGGGGGCUCCACUGUCACUGGCUGCUUUGCUGGACACCUCUCUGUCUCUCUGGCUGGCUGGCUGGCUGUCUCCUGUCUGUCUUUCCAUCUGUCCUGCUCCCCUAUGUGACUCCCACAGGCUUGGAACAGCAAGGCCAGAGUUCUCAACUCUAACUCACAGUCCAAAUGUGAAUGCCUUGAAUCUGCAUUCUCUUACAUGGAAACACCUGGACGGUAAAAUUGUGAUUCAAACUGCGUCCAUUGUCAGUAUCAUGGGGAUGCCUCUCCUUUCCCGAAAAGUUUUGUAACUUGGUCCAGCCGGUUUGGAUUUGAGACAGGAUGCAGGCUCGUAACUGAGAUCAGAGGAGCCAUCGCCCAUUUAGGAAACGCUCUGGAACGUCCGCCAGGAGUUCAGGAACAGGGGCCAGGAGAAGAAGAUGGAUAAGAGAAGUGCCCUGUGCUCAGGGAGCUGGGACUCGGCGACCCAGGGUACCAGACUCCAAUCAAGACCACAGGAUGCAGUCUAUAUGAGGACUCUAGGUCAGUGCCGAGAAUCACCCUCUUUGGAAAAGUCAGGAAAAUCACAAUCUUUGGAAACCAAUGAAAGACUAUAGGCACUUAGUCUAGUCUUUUGCCUUCAUUAUCCUGGGCACCUAGUCGACUGGUCUCUGCUUGAAUUCCUCCAGUUCUGGGGAGCUCAUGUCCUCUUGUUGUCAGGCUUCAGAACCUGUAUCAGGUUUCCCCAAGGCUGUAUUUCCCCUUGCCACUCCCACAUCUGGUCUUUCACCUGAUAGUGACAAUCACCCUGUGAUUUAGGCAGGGUGGUCGAGUGCCCACUUGACCAAGCAGUUACACUCAGUGUUGGUCAGGUUCAGUGAAAUUUGGCAAAGACAAUACUGGCACUCCGGCUGCUGAACUCCUUGCCCAACAUUUUUUUUUUUUUUUUUAAUCAUACAGCUCUGCUAUCAUGUUGGGAGCAGUCCAGACUCCAGAUUUCUGAAUUUGAAACAUAACCACACUACUAACCUUCCCAGCAAUCUGGGGGAGAAAGCAAAGGUUGGAACCAUAGGCCCUAGAAUUCCACCCUUCAUGAAGAACAAGCCAAUUGCCUGGGCUAGGGGCUAAGUCAAUGGGGAAGACAGCAGAGGGUCAAAGGGAAGCCUACUCUUCAUACUCUAUCUACAGAUAUGGAGUUAGAGGCUCUUUCCUCCUGUUUAGAUGACCUCUCUGUAGUGAAGGGAUGAUGCCAUCCCAAUGUUGUGGUGCCUGACCCAGGAGAGAUGGAGCAAAGGUGGUGCUGGAGGAAGGCUUUGGUCAAAGCCACGUGACCAAAGUGUGUGUCCAAAGAGAACACCCAUCCAGGGGGGGCCAGACAGAGAGAUGACAGCCAGAUCCACACCAACAGACUGGGGGCAGACACAUCGCUUGUGCAGAGUGGACAGGAGGUAGGACCUAGGGAGCUCUCGUUUUGCCUCUGCCUCAUUUAUCCCGGCUGGCUUGGAGACUGGGUCCCCGAUAUCACAACUCUGAUUUAUACCUGCUGUUGGCAGGAAAAGGUGUAUGUUCUAUCUGUUAUUAUUGAUCCUAGGAUUCAUGAACAUUUAACACGGUUACAAAGAAGAUCUAGCAAACCCACAGUCCUUGCGCUCUAGGGUUCCUGACACACGAUCAGGCAGCUUCAAUUACAUAACCAAAGAAAAAUGUUUAUAUGAGAUUCAGGGACCCAAUCCAAGGUCUGAGAACAGUUUGGGUGGCCAUAGUCCACAAGUCUGUGAUGGGUGUUUUUAUUCAAAAGAAGCAGGGUAUAAAUAACUAAGUGCUUAGACAAACCCAAGGAACCCUAGACUUAUCCUUUCGUCUCAAACACUUUUCAGGAAGCCAUGAGCAGUCUAGUGGGCAAUACAUUUCCCUCAGCCCCUUGACCAGAAGCAUGUUUCCUUGGCCAGUGUGUGGCCGGUCGCUCUGUGGUACUGUGGAAUGACUUACACAUGAAGGAAAUAAUCUGAUGACUCCCACGAGGGUAGUCCAACAUCUCCUGAAAGGACGUCAUUGACCCAAUGCUGGGAGGUCUCUGGAACAUCGCUUAUUGGAAGGACUGAAUAUGGAAGGUCCGUUGUUCUUCUUCACUCAUUGUCCUUAAGUAGAAUGGGUGCCUCUUCAGAAGAUUAACCAAGUGACCCAGCAAACGUUUGCAGACAUUCAAAGUACUUUGAAUGAGGUAGUAAUUAUGCAUAUUUCACGGGAAGCUUAUCCUGUGCCAUGUUAAUCCAUGGAAUUAGGAAUACAGGGGCUCUCCAUUCUUUCCCCCCCAAAAUGGGCUUGAGAAUGUAGUGAGGUGGUAUGGUCUACCUCCACUCCUUCUUUCCUGUCCCUCCUAUUCAUUUCAAAACCAAUCUCUAAGAAGAGUACUGUCUUUAUUUAGGCCUAAUCCACAAAAUGUAAUACAGGGCAAAGGGUGUGUUUUUGCAUAUACACGUGGGAAAAGCAAAGGGAAUUUUCUUCCAUAUGUUUGUCUGAACUUCCAAAAAUCAAGAAUGAACAUAUAUUACUUUUGUAAAUGGGGGAAAGUUCUGGAAAAACUUUUGAUUUGGGCUGCAAGCAAACUGCUCAGAAGAUAACUAUUCAUAGAAGGUUUUCGUUCACUCCAUCUCAGUUUCUUUUUUUUUAAUUUUUUAAAUGUUUGUUUGUUUGUUUGUUUGUUUGUUUAUUUGGAGAGACAGAGGGAGACAGCAUGAACAGGGGAGGGGCAGAGAGAGAGAGUGAGGCACAGAAUCUGAGGCAGGCUUCAGGCUCCAAGCUGUCAGCACAGAGCCCGACGCGGGGCUCGAACCCACAGACCAUGAGUUCAUGACCUGAGCUGAAGUUGGACACUUAACCGACUGAGCCACCCAGGUGCCCUCACUCCAUCUCAGUUUCUUCCCAAAGAUGUACCGUCAAUAUCAUCUCCCUGUGCUCACGUAUAUUUGCUCAGGAGGAAUUCGGCAUUGGCCACAAAAUGUAGAACAUUUCAACCUAAUUAUCCUUGCCUUGGAAAGAGCUUCCGUCUAGCUUUUUAUGGUGCACUGAAAAAGGGAAGUUCUUCUAACAUUCCUAUAUGCUGCUGCUUUUCAAGGAUAGCAACAAGAAAUAAAUAUAAGAUACCGACUUUCCACCUAUGGAAGACUACUCUGUGGCAUGACUUCCAGUUGUGCCAAGAUCAGCACUUGAGCACCUUGAAUUUGGGAGCUAGAAGCCAUUGAGCCCCAGAUUUAUGACUGUUCCCGUGUCUCAACCAUCUGCUCCAGGCACGUUCCCGAAAUUUAUGAAAUGCAAUUGCUCUAAAGGGUACAGGCCAGGAAGUGCAGGGUUGAAAUAUUCCACCUGGCCAGAGACACUGUCGUGUGGACUAAUUUAAGGCUUUGCUCAUUUGAAAGGGGGUAUUUCUCAUUCACAGUAGAGUAUCUUCUGUGCCAUCUGAAGUAUCAUAAAGCAGUCAAAUCCUGCUUGAAAUGUUCAGAAAAGAUUCCUCACCAAAGGUCAUUUGCUCUUUCCAUCUUUCAGGUUAAUUACUCCUGUGGUUCUUGUCUGAGUGAAAAAGUCCUUUUCUUUUUUCUUCUUUUCCUUCGUUUGUUGCUUUGACAGUUGGGUAUUGACUCUGUAGACCAUGUCUAGGUUUUUCUUACAGAAGUAGGUCCCUGGCUUCCCUGUUCAAGAGCCCCAGUCGUGCCAUGGAAUCAUCUCUAGUCCAGAAUUGUCAAGAAUGAACAGUUAGUUCUCCAAAGAUGUUGAUGUUUUCAAAGACGUGGGAAGAGUCUGUUCAUGCCUUUCUGUCCUUCUCCAGUGGGGAUAAUUUGGCUUUCAGACUAAUUGAAAGGCACAGCUCUUUUUUUGAAACAUCUACUGAGAACAGCUUUAUCCCCGUCACCCACACCACACCUCGGCUCGUGAAUCUUAGACUCUUGGGAGACAUCUAUUCACCUCAGAUGUGACCCAUUAUCCACUGUAACAAAGAAUGGUUGUGUGUGCAGGGUACACACAGAUUUGUACCCAUUAGAGGCAAGAAAUGAUGUUUCCCUGUAAAAGGAGAUUUUUAAGAAAUGUCAGUAUUUUCAGGUUGAAUCCAGUCAAAAAUAAGUCCUUUCAAAUUCUACUUACGCGAAGUCAAAUUAAAUUCAGAAAUUAAAACCAAAAGGCUGAGAUCAUUCAAUUUAAAUUCAUGUGACCUCAGUCUUUUGAUUUUGCUUUUCAGACUGAUAUAUGUGUAUAGACAGAAUCUUAAAGACACCAAGCUUUCCUUGGGGGACGGAGUAAAAUUGACACAGGUUUUAUAAACAUUUAAUUCUUAUGAGACAGGGGCCCAGACUAGCUGGCGUAGUUUGGGUAUGUGUGAUAGUUGGUUUUCACUCUGUUAUGAUUUGCUUUUAAAUAUUUAUUUGUGAAAUAUAAAUCUUGCUAACAUUGAAGUCUGUUCUGAAGCAAUGACUACUGCUUUUGCUGUUGCUUAAUGGAACUGUUGAAUCUUCUUAGAAAACAAAAAGAUUCAGUUAUAUAAACAAAUCAUACUAGUGAAGCAUCAAAUAACAAUUCUAGAGCCUCUGUGAGGCUGGAGCUACGUUCUGCAGAUGGGUGGUAAGUUAGGAACCCUAAGAUAACAGCCUACGUGGUCAAUCAAAAAAAAAAAAAUGUGAGUGACUCAAAAAUGCUGAGAAAUUAGGGCCUGCGUCCUUAAAUAACAAGCACUCACUUGAAAAAUUGGAAAAAUAUCACCAGUUUCAUCAGUACAUUUAUAGAUUCCUUUUCCAUUGAUCCAUCCCCAUUGCUAAUACACCUGUUAUGUAAUAGAUGCUUACUCACUGUUCUGUCCAGUCCAACAGAUAACGACACUUCCUGGUGGACGGCUCUGAUUUUCUGUCAGUCAGAAUGAUGAUUUAGAAUGUUCAGCUCAUUCAGUAAAACAGACUAGUUCUGAGCGCAAAGGCUGAAGGAGAUCAAAUGUACAACUGUUUUAAAUGAUCACUUUCCCACGAGUGAUGAAUUUACGUCCUAUAUGCUGUCAACAUGAACCAUGACACUCAUGGCCGUGGGGGACCCCCUGUCUGGGGACUAGCUGGGAGAGCACACCCUUUCCUACCUUGAAUAUAUGAAUAAAUUAUUCACAGCUAUAAAUGCUCUGGUCCAGUUGGUCAGUUAAGCCAAUCAACAAGCAUUGUUUUCAUUGAGACCUGGCUCCCUGUUCCAUAAUGCAGUCCAUAGCCCUUCCCAGAGUGAAUGGAAGGGAGAUGGGUGAGGGAGGGAUGGGGCCAAGAGCAAAGGCAUCAACAAUUUUUUAAAUAAUAAUUCCUGGAGUAUCUGCUGUGUACCUGGCACUGUACUGGGAUUAUAAAGAUGAAUGGAACAUAGCCUCUGCCCUCAAGUAGCUCAUGGAAGAGGGGGGCACCUGGCUGGCUCAGUUGGAAGAACAUGUGACUCUUGAUCUUGGGGUUGUGAGUUUGAGCCCCACGUUGGGUGUAGAGAUUACUUAAAAAUAAAAUCUUAAAAAAUAAAGAAGAAGAAGCUCAUGGAAUAGGAGAAGAGAGAGGUGUAUAGACAGAUCAUUGCCAUGCCAUGUGGUAAGAACAAUGAUGGAGACAGAAGAGCGGUACAUUCCCAGCAUGAGCAGGGCUGACUCUUAAAGGAAGAAUGAGCACCGGCCAGAUGUUGGUGAAGAGGAGGGGGUCUCUGGGAAAGGAGUCAGUGGGGCCGUGGAGCUGGUUUGAAUGGGCUCACGAGGACCAAUCAUUAAAUGUUCAGGCAUCUUGCUAGCUGGCUGUUACACACGAUCAUAAAUUAUUAAAUAGCAAAUAAUUAACAUUAUUUUAAUUAUUACAAUUAUUAAAAAGUAAAUGAUGCAAGUUUAUGAUUGAAUAAAUCACAAAAACGGCAAUAAAUACUAAAAAUGUAUCACUCCCUAAUUAUUUUACUGCAUUUUACUAUUAUCUAUGCCCUUGAGGUUUUUUUUCAGGUCUAUUGCAUACGUCUGGUGAAAAUACUGUCUGAUUGUGGCCACUGCCUACCUCUUCUCAACUCCACGUUUAAUGACAUCAUAUAAGUUUGAAGUUGGCUGUGGUGGGAGUAUUUACACCAGAAAAGCCACGCAUGCUACAGAUCAGGGAUUAUUUCCUCCCCAGAAGGCCAUUUACCAGCAGGCAGGGGCAAGGCCAUUCAAGAUCAAGGCAGGGAACUCCAAGCUGUGCGGAAAGCUGGGAACACAGUGCCGCAGGGAGCAGGGAGUGAGGAUACCAAAUCCCACAUGACCUUUCAGGCCACAUUGAGGAGGUGGAACUGGAGGCUUCAAAGGACUUUUGUGGUGUCUGGUCUGUGAGAUCUAGCAGAGAGCUGGACGUGUAAAAGGAGCUUCAGUGGCAUCUGGGCGGGGGCCCUGAACCGGGCAUCGUGGGCGUGUGGAUGGUAGUGAAACUUUGAGUGCACGGGGCCACCAGGAGAGGGUCUGGAGGAAGAAGUGCAAGAGGCUGGGGGAGCAGGGGGCAGGGGAGGGGAAGCAAGGUGCCCACAGAAAAGGGGCACAGGAAGAGGCUCAUCUGGAGACCCUCCCAUGGGAAGGGAGGGUAUGGACAGCAAAGGAGAGAGGUGUUUCAAGAAGCAGGAGAGAGAGAAAGGGGAGAAGGGAGCAGGAGGGAGACUUGGAAAGAGAGGAGCAGAGCACAGGCAUUCAAACCACAGUGAAGACCAAAAACAUUUCUUUAAUAAAAAUCGGGGGAAAUCCUGCUCUGUGACAGAGAAGUACCAAAAUAAACCGCGUGGUUGUCAAAAACAAAAACAAAUACAAAAACAAAAACAAAACCCUGUGAUUUGUUUUAGGCUUUUUAUUUUUAAGUUUAUUUAUUUUAAGAGAGAGAGAGUGCAUAUGCCUGCGUGUGCUUGUGAGUGGGAGAGGGGCAGGGAUCGAGGGAGAGAAAGAGAAUCCCAAGCAGGCUCCGUGCUGUUAACACAGAGCCCGACCCGGGGCUCGAUCGCACCUACCAGCCGUGAGAUCAUGACCUGAACCGAAAUUGAAUCGGACACUUAAGCAACUGAGCCACCCAGGCGCCCCCAUGAUUUGUUUUAGGUAGUCAGGGAAGGGGGAACCAAAAUGAGAAGGAAGACCCAAAAUUCAACUUACCAGAAAGUGAUAUGUGUCCAGGGAUGGAAGUGGAGUAAGGUGAUGAGGGCAGGGAGAGCCUGCUAGAGAAGGAAGCAUCCUCCCCCAAACCAGCAUGAGGAAUGAGGCGUGGCCACCCCAGGGGGGAAGCCCUCAGGCAACUGACCUCCCUAAAGUAUUCUGAGAAAACUGACCUGGAGGUUUCAACCAGAAGUGUUGCAGAAGGUCAUCAGGAGGACGUGACCCCCGGGUGACCCACAAGCUAGACUGGGGAGGCAACUCACCUGGCCGCAGUCCUUGGAAUGCACAUUCUACCUUCUGUUCCCACAGUGGGAGCCAUUUUCCCAAGAGAGCAAGGUGUUCUUGAGGCCCGGACUAAAUAUGUGAUGAGCCCCCUUAUGGCCUCCAUCUCAACUUUCGAGAUCCUAGCUGGAGGUGGUGGAGAUCUACUGGUCUUGUGGUGUCUCAGACCAGCCCGUAAGUUCCCCCUGCUUGUCUCACCUGCUGCCUGGGAGUCUGCACACUCUGUGUCUUCAGUCUCUCCUUGCCCUCUGGGUUCGGGGACCAGUUUGCAAACCAACACAUAUGAGGAAGACAGAGGCAUAAAUAAGAAAUUAGACAUCAGUGACGUAGAAGUUAGGCACAUAGAUUCCCGAGCCAGAUUAGAUUCGAAUCCCGGUUCUACUGAAUCUUUGCUUGGAUAAUUUACUUAAAACUGAGCCUCAGUCUCCUCAUCUACAAAAUGAGGAUAAUGAUGAAAUAUACCUCAUAGAAUUAUUAUGAGGAUUAAGUAAGGAAAUCCAUGUAAAAUAUUCGUAACAAGCCCUGAUGUCCAGUGGAAGCUACUGAUGAUAAGGAUUAUGAUUCCCUGUUAGGACAGCUUUGCAGCCCCGGCCUCCUUUCCACACCCACCAGGCUGUGGGAUCAUAGACCUGGUCUGUCUUUCAUCCAUGGAUUCACAAUUUUCCAAAAACUAGAACGCUUACCAUUCAAACUGCAUUCACUAGUCAAAACACACUCAACGUAAUUCAUCUUUCUUUGAAAAUUUGGAAGUUUCCUCUAAGUUCUUGUCAUGCUGUGGGGUCACCAUUAGGAACACGAAUUAUGGAUGGCAGGAAACAACCUUAUCUGAAACAGCGCUACCAUGGUUUGGGAACAAAUGUCCUCUUUGAACCUUGAUAUAUGUCGUGUACAGACCCUGAUCUCUUGCCCGCAAGGUUGCUAUUCUCACACUUUGCAGAAUUUACCCAGACUUUUUUUCUGUUUUCAGUGUUAACUGACUAACAUUUUGUUUUCUGCCUUUCCCUUCUCACGUACCUCAGAAGCCAUAUGGUAGGCAGCUAAUAAUGUCGUUUCCAGAACAGUAUAUACCUGGUUUCCCCUGCUCCUGGAGCAAUGAAAAUGGCUCCAUCCGCUCAGUGUCCCUGUGUUCUCCCCGCUUUGCCUCCCCUGCUGACAAUCUGCUUCUCCCCCUCCGCUUCUUCCAUUUUGUGUCUUCUCUUCCUUCUUCACCUGCUCCCUUCUUUCCCUUCUGCCUUGUCUUUCUCAGUUUGUCUGCUUCAUCCACCUUCUCCCCCACAGAGCUCAUAGAUUCAGAACAGCACUUGCUUGAAUCUCAUUGUCUGAGCAAUGACUGCCCUCCCUGACUUCUGUCUGUUAAAAAAAAAAAAAAAAAAAUUCUUGUCAUCCAAGCUUCGUGACUGCCUGGAUUCCAGAUAAACUAAGAUUUAUUGUGUGUACACAGUGGCGACCCCCAGGCUAUGCACUCUGAAUGCAUAUCAUGGGCGUGCUGAGGUGGAGUUUAAGCAAGCAGUCUCUUUGUUUCAUCUGGAAAACAUUAUUUUGAUGAUUGUUGGAGAAAGCAGUAAAUCGAGUCAAAUGGAUGAUUCGUGUGGCCAGAUCAGUGGUUGAGACCAAAGGAAUCAUCAUGAGGGCAGCGCGGCCCUUUUUAGGAGGCUCGAGUGCUGGGUCACCAUCUGCUGGGAAUGGACACAUGAGGCUUCAGUGCAGCCCGUGAACCACAUGUGAGCCGUCAUUUGCUGACUGUUUUGGUUUUUAAGUUUAUUUAUUUUGAGAGAGAGGGAGAGAGAGAGAGAGAAGGCAGAUGAGCAUGAGUGAGGAGGGGCAGAGAAAAGAGGGAGAGAGAGAAUCCCAAGCAGGCUCCACACCAUCCGUGAGAUCCACAAACCGUGAGAUCAUGACCUCAGCCGAAAUCAAGAGUCAGACGCCCAACCGACCGAGAUGCCCAGAAGCCCCUUCAUUUGCUGACUCUUAACUAUUCUCUCUUUCUCUUCUUUCCCCACCGCAAAGCCAAAGAGCAAACAAGAAGGUAAUGAGUUAGGGCAAGUUCGGAGGUUUGCUGGAGAUAGGAAAACAUGGAAGGGCAGAAGGAGAGCUUUCCUCUUCCCCAGCUCAUAACAAAGCACCUUCUACCCAACCAGUUGAAUCGCUACGUGUAUAACCUAAUCUAUUUGUUGAGAUGGACAGAAUAAUGGGACUUUGGAAUGGCUCAUGCCAUCAUUUCAGCCUUGUUAAUACCUAGACAAGAAGACACUAUGUAAGGAUAAAUAUGGGGCAAAUGGCUAAUACUAUGGCCAAAAUCCUUGCCUGACCUCAGAAUAAUCAAUUGAGGCACGAUCUUUAGGGGAGAAGUCACCUGGGUCAGUUACUCCUAACUACGUUCUUUCAAAGUUGAGUUUGGCUGCAUUUGAAUUUGACCCCAUUACUCACUGAACUGAUUUUCUGGGGCUCCAAAUAGUCAUGUUGUCCCAGGUAGAUAUGGCUUUUCCUCAAAGCUUCUGUUAAGAAUAUAAAGGCAGAACAAGAAGAGAGAACUAUUUUAAAUGACAAUAAUAUCUUUGUAGGCCUUCUUUCCGUUUAUGUCUAAGACCUACAAUGAUACACGAAUGGAUUUUUUCAUGUUGAAAUUUGUGUGUUAAACGUUGAGUCUUCCACUGACAUUAGGACUGCACUGAGUCUGUGUCAUGAGAACAUAUCUUAUUCAGUGAAUUCAUUUGAGAAUCCUGGAUAUUGUGUCAACAUGAUGUCAAACAGCAAGUGUAACCAAGAUUAACACCAAUAGAUACAGCCUUUGGAAAGCUAAGAUACAAGGAUUGUUUCAGGGAGUUGAAUAUUCUUUAUCCCAAUAGCCAUUAGAGGCUACAGUGAGAAAUCUAAAACUUUUCUUUUAAUUAAUAGAUUUUAUUUUUUAGACUAGCUUUAAGUUCACCGAAAAAUGAGCAGACAAUACAGAGAGUUCCCAUAUCCCCUGCCCACCCCUGGAAGUUUCCACUAUUAUUAACAUCUUACAUUAUUAUGGUGCAUUUGUUAUAACUGAUGAGUCCAUACUGAUAUAUUAUUAUUAUUAACUAAAAUCUGUAAUUUACACUAGGGUUCACUCUUUGUGUUGUGCAUUCUGUGGGUUUUGACAAAUGUAUAAUGACAUGUAUCCACCAUUAUAGUACUAGACAGAAUAGUUUCACUGCCCCUUAAAACCCCCUCUGUUCAACCUGUUCAUCCCUCCCUCCCCUUGGACCCCUGGACACCGCUGAUCUGUUUGAUAUCUCCAUAGUCUUGCCUAUUCCAGAACAUCACCUGGUUGUAAUCAUACAGCACAUAGCCUUUUCAUACCAGCCUCUUUCAUUUAGCAAUACACAUUUAAUGUCCCUCCAUGUCUUCUUGUGGCUUGAUAGCUCAUUUACUUUUUUAUCACUGAGCGAUAUUCCAUCGUAUGGAUGUUCCACAGU